rnacentral:rRNA from 1 species
CCUACGUGUGGCAGCAGUGAGGAAUAUUGGUCAAUGGGCUUACGCCUGAACCAGCCAAGUCGCGUGAGGGAAGACUGCCCUAUGGGUUCUAAACCUCUUUUGUCAGGGAGCAAUUGGCGCUACGUGUAGCGUUAUCGAGAGUACCUGAAGAAAAAGCAUCGGCUAACUCCGUGCCAGCAGCCGGGGUAAUACGGAGGAUCCGAGCGUUAUCCGGAUUUAUUGGGGUUAAAGGGUGCGUAGGCGGUCAGGUAAGUUAGAGGUGAAAGCUCGAUGCUCAACAUCGAAACUGCCUCUGAUACUGUCUGACUAGAGUGUAGUUGCGGAAGGCGGAAUGUGUGGUGUAGCGGUGAAAUGCUUAGAUAUCACACAGAACACCGAUUGCGAAGGCAGCUUUCCAAGCUAUUACUGACGCUGAGGCACGAAAGCGUGGGGAGCGAACAGGAUUAGAUACCCGAGUAGUC